rnacentral:tRNA from 1 species
CGGGGUGUAGCUCAACGGUAGAGCCGCCGUGUAAGACCCGAAAGGUUACAGGUUCAAAUCCUGUCGCCCCGACCA